CCUACGGGCGGCAGCAGUGGGGAAUAUUGCACAAUGGGGGGAACCCUGAUGCAGCGACGCCGCGUGAGUGAAGAAGUAUUUCGGUAUGUAAAGCUCUAUCAGCAGGGAAGAAGAUGACGGUACCUGACUAAGAAGCCUCGGCUAACUACGUGCCAGCAGCCGCGGUAAUACGUAGGGGGCAAGCGUUAUCCGGAUUUACUGGGUGUAAAGGGAGCGUAGACGGAAGGGCAAGACUGAAGUGAAAGCCCGGGGCCCAACCCCCGGACUACUUUGGAAACUGCCAUGCUAGAGUGCUGGAGAGGUAAGCGGAAUUCCUAGUGUAGCGGUGAAAUGCGUAGAUAUUAGGAGGAACACCAGUGGCGAAGGCGGCUUACUGGACAGUAACUGACGUUGAGGCUCGAAAGCGUAGGGAGCAAACAGGAUUAGAUACCCUAGUAGUC
rnacentral:rRNA from 1 species